UUAUGGGCAAAACUGCCGAAAGGCAGUGACGCAAAGCCAGAGGGGUCUAAGGUCUUUUAAGACUAUGACAGCCGGUUGCC
rnacentral:ncRNA from 1 species